rnacentral:lncRNA from 1 species
GAUUUUCACUGCUCAGGUGUUGCAAAGCCUAAUCCUUAUUCAGGAACCAAAACGCUCCCCUCUCCUUGCCUGCGGUGCUUGGAUGCCUGCCUUUGGCAGUAGCCCCAGACUCCUGCAGAAGAUGAAGACAUCCCUCCAUGCCUAUAGAUGGAAAAGCGCCAACAUGGAUGCCAUCAGAAGGACGCAGCUGAGCAUAUGCUGAGAAAAUUGUGGCAUCCAUACUGUACAUGGGGAAGGGCUGACUGAACACACCAGUUUGUUGAAGCUUAUGGCCCUGAAAAGGAAACAUAGGUUUCCUGUAAAUGUCAUUCAGGGAUAUGCUAACUGUUAUUUCCUGGCACUGGAUCAUGAUGCUUUCAACACAUUCUGUUCCUCUACCUCUGCUGCUACCUCUGCUGCCUGCCUGCCUGGCUGUGCGCAGUGAUAGCUCUCCUGUCUUCUCACCUUUCCUCCUCCCCGCGCCAGGCAAAGGUAAGAGAGACUUAGGCAAAGUGAAAAACUGACUUUGGGAUAGAGCAUUGAGGAGGAAAAAAGAAAUAGGAAGGGAUGACUGCGUGUUGCAUGCCUUCCCGGCAUUGCCACCAUCUCGGGGUGUAUUUGGGCUCCAUUACUUUGACUCCAUUAUGAGUGAACUGGUCCCCUGGUGCCAUUCUGCCAUGGCAUUUCAUUUGUACAGAUUGCUUUCAGCCCUAGUGCCUACACUACGUCUGCUUCACUACAUGGUCUUAAGAGGCUUCCCUAAGUACCUUUUGCAGUGUGAGUUGUCUCUUUGGUUGUCUGCACUCCUCAUCUCCCUCCCUUCCUCCAUCCUUCAGGUAUUUCGGUUGGGAGGGACUGUGUCAGCAAGAGAGAUGAAGCACGGAGAGAUGAAAUCUCAGCCCUGUACACAGCCUGGCUGCCGUCUGUACCUGGGCCUUGCCGCACCAUCCCUCGAAUGCAAAGCAAUUCAACGAAAAGAGCCACCAUUCAGAUUUCCUUCAGGAAACACACCCUCGCUCCUGUUCACUAUAAGACAGCUGAGAGCAAGCAAUUACGCCGCUAAAAACAAGAUCACCACACCUGUACAAGAAAAGACAAGCAAGCCCAAAACAUCUGUUUGCAUCCACCUGCCAAGCACCUGUUCCGCUGUUUCAAUGCCAUUUGAUUGCUGGAGAUGUAGAGGCUCUUGUGAGGCCAGUCGUCCGGUCAUCACACAGGGAACUGUACGCAGAAUAAAUCAGCCCACACUCCUCGUCACGAACUCAGUUGCUCUUUGA